UACGAAGGGGGCUAGCGUUGCUCGGAAUCACUGGGCGUAAAGGGUGCGUAGGCGGUACGUUUCUAAGUCAGGGGUGAAAUCCUGGAGCUCAACUCCAGAACUGCCUUUGAUACUGAAGAUCUUGAGUUCGGGAGAGGUGAGUGGAACUGCGAGUGUAGAGGUGAAAUUCGUAGAUAUUCGCAAGAACACCAGUGGCGAAGGCGGCUCACUGGCCCGAUACUGACGCUGAGGCACGAAAGCGUG
rnacentral:rRNA from 1 species